UACGAUACGGCCAUUUGCAUUCGUACUUCUCUUCAGUUAAAACAAAUUUGAUCUCGUUGAUCUUUAUUUUAUUUUAUCGGGAUUAUUCAGCGCACAACGACACAAGCACGGAUAGAGAAACAAAAUUUGUGGUAUCUUCAUAUUCUUCGUUUGUCGUAUUUAUUUGGCACGAUUUGAGGAGAUAAGGGCGGCUAAAUAUACUUAUCAGAUAGCGAAUGUACUUUUGCCACGCAAAGUUUGUUGUUCAUCGCGAUCUGAAACAAGAGAACAUUCUACUGACGGACUAUGACAACCUGAAAAUAGUCAAUUUCGGGUGGCUCGUUCACCCCCGCUCGAAUCGACAUAAAAUGUGUGGCACGUUCGAUUAUCUGCCACCGUAGAUGGUCUUAUAUCAGUGAUGUUUAAGCAUUCUGUAUUUUGAGUUUGCGUCGGUUUUCCAUCGUUCGAAUCGGAAACGGCCAAGGCCAUAUACGAUGAGACUCGAACUAAAGGCUGCUUCCGGAUUGCGGGAGGAGGUGUUUGGUAUCGAAGCAAAAUCAAUGAGUUCAAUUUGUGCCUGUGACAUAUGUUCGGUCGGAGAUUCGGACAUUCGUGACGUGAUGGUAACGGUGGGCAAAUUCGUGAAGAGGCCUUGCAAUCUUUGAACAACUACAAUGGAGAUUACGGCCCGGAGUCGAAUGCGGAAAAUGUAGACGAUGAGGGCGAUGACUAGCUUUCAAGUGACCGAUCGGCGAGAUAACGACGGCUAAAUGUGGAAAUAACAUUGUACCACUGUCCAGAGUAUUUAUAGGUGUCGCAAAUCUUUGAAUAAUUACAUGAUCUAUCACCAGAAUCAGCUGUCGUUUUCGUGCGAUGAAUAUGGCAAACGGUCGCUAUAGGGCUACAAAAAGUUACUAUUACUGUACGGGAAUCUUCUUGUCUUCGAGACAAUAUUUUCCACCAGAGAACCGUGCACAUCAUGGAGUGGAAUAGCCUCCUUGAUGAAGGCACACCAGACUUUAAAAAAGGAAAAAAUAAAAGACGAACCGAUUUCGUUUGCAUAGGUUGUCGUCAGCGUUUCCUGACAUAAAAAAAAUAUCAGCGUCACAUUAAUGAGUUUCUGAAGCACUUCCCAAAAGUUCUACACCGGUGUCAACUGGCGAAUCGAAUCGUUAGAUUAUAUGCCACCGGAGAUGGUCGUAUUUCAGUGAUAUUUGUGCAUUCUGUAUUUUUAGUUUUGCGUCUGUUUUCCACCGUUCGAACCGGAAACGACCAAGGCUACAUACUAUGAGAUCCGAUAGCUGAAGGUGGACAAUCCAUACUUUCUGAGUGCGGGAGUGCGGAUCUGAUAUUGAAGUUGUGCGCGAAAUCAAUGAUCUCAAAGUUUUCCUGUAAUGUAUAUGAUGUGUAGUUGUAAUUCCCGUUUUGUGUUUUUUUUACAACAAACGUACUGUGUCUGUUUGAAUAUUGAUCGGAAGAUUAGAACAUUCGUGACGUGAUGGUACGCUGAAGUGCAUCUCUGAGCACGUCUUGCAAUUUUCGGAUAACUCCAAUGAAGAUGACGGUGAGGGGUCGAAUGCGGACAACGAAGAUAUUCGCGAAUAUGACUAGCCUAAAAGCGACCGAUCGGCAAACAACGGCUCUAUGUUGGGAUAAUUGCACCGGGAGCGGGAGCAAUUAUCGUAAGUUAUAAGAAAAUUAUUUCGUACGAAGCAUAUACAAAACGCAGUUGAAUUAAUUCAGCAAAGUGCAUCAGAAAAAGCUGAUCGAUAAGAAGUGCGAGGAUGAUUGUGAGGAAGAAAAUCUAUAAAUAAGAUGAGAAAAGAUGACUGAUGACUGUUUAUCUAAAUAUGUCUAAGUCGCACGCGUCAAUUCAAGUAGCAACAACAUUGUAUAUCUUAAUCAUAAAUCAUUAUAAUUGAGCUGCUGUUUAGAUAGAAAAAUGAGAAUAUACCUUCUCAAAAAUUUGCACGUAAAUAUUCAAUAAAAUUUCUAUUUUUACAAGGACUCAAUCGGCUUAAUAGGCAAUAGAAUGUAGCAGUUUUUCAUUCCAACAAAUAGGAAGAAUCUUGCUUAACUUUUUCGCACUGCUACGUACACUUUCGGCCACCUAAAAUAGCUUAAACAAUUUUAUGAAUACUGUAUGUUGUGAUUCGACCAACCGCAAGAUCGUUAAUUGCUGGAAGCAUUGAACGUUUUCCGCCGAAGGUGCCAGAAGGAGCUUUCCAGUUGCAUCGUUUCACUAAGGCUAAGGUUACUUUGGAUAGGAGUACGCACGAAAAUUUGAUUGAACGAAUAGAAACAAACAAUUUUGUUCGAUAGAAGCUGACGAAUACGAACGAAGCAAGGGGGAAGCAAUGUAACCACACCAAUACAACUCAAUGUGGUUGUUUAGCUUCACUAUUGCAUACAAUUCGUACGACCACUUUUCUGCAUCCAGUGUCACCGCCGCCUAAUGCUCAUGUAGUGAUUUGAAUUUUCUCAGGAUCGAUGCAACUCUUGGAGGAACCCAAUUCUAUACUCCUCGCGCCAUAUAAUACCAUUUCUUCUUCUUGAAUGGCGUUAACGUUCCCUGUUGAACUUUUGCCGUCUCAACAUAUGUAUUAACUAGCGUCAUUCAUUAAUACUUAGUUGAGAUUUCUUAAGCCAAAUAACACGCCUUGAAUGUAUUCCGAGGGGCAAGCUCUAGAAUACGCGUGACCACAGUGCAAGUCGGAGGAAAUUUCUUUGACGAAAAAUCCUCCGGCCAGAACGGGAAUCGAACCCAAACACCCGGCAUGAUAAUGUGAGACGCUAACCACUCGGCCACGGGUGCACAUAAUACCAUUUCAAUAAUCCAAUUUCUUGACAAAUGUCUCCGUAUUACUUACAGCCGUUCGCAUGCUCAUCACCAUAAAAAUACAGAAGAAAGAAUUGCGAGAAUUAUGUUUUAUUCGUUUCGAAAUACUCCGGAAUUUCAACGGUUCUGACAGUUUGUAUGCACACAUGUAUCAUCUGUCUCCCUCCCGCAUUUUUUGUACACAUUCCCCUCUUACACGCUUCGCUACGUACCACUCCCCUCGCUAACUUACUGACGAUACGGACUCACCUUAGUAAUACUUUCUAUUCAUCGUGACUGAGUCAGUGCCAAAUUGUUGAGACGUCGGUUAAUCGUUCGAUUAAUUCAAAUAAUCGAAUAUCUGAAAUAAUCAUCGAGUAAUUUUGUAUCGAAUAAUUUAAAAUCAAAAUAUGAAUACAUCGAAUAGUUGUCAUUGUAAUCGCGAUUAAUUAAAGAAGGCAUUUUUCUCAAGGUUAAUGCAUUUUAGGUCAAGAAUUA